ACGGAGAGUUUGAUCCUGGCUCAGGAUGAACGCUGGCGGCGUGCUUAACACAUGCAAGUCGAACGAACCUUCGGGUUAGUGGCGGACGGGUGAGUAACGCGUGGGAAUCUGCCCUCAGGAGGGGGAUAACGGUUGGAAACGACCGCUAAUACCCCAUAUGCCGAGAGGUGAAAUGAAUUUCGCCUGAGGAUGAGCCCGCGUCUGAUUAGCUAGUUGGUGUGGUAAUGGCUCACCAAGGCUUCGAUCAGUAGCUGGUCUGAGAGGAUGAUCAGCCACACUGGGACUGAGACACGGCCCAGACUCCUACGGGAGGCAGCAGUGGGGAAUUUUCCGCAAUGGGCGAAAGCCUGACGGAGCAACGCCGCGUGAGGGAUGAAGGCCUCUGGGCUGUAAACCUCUUUUCUCAAGGAAGAAGAUCUGACGGUACUUGAGGAAUAAGCCACGGCUAAUUCCGUGCCAGCAGCCGCGGUAAUACGGGAGUGGCAAGCGUUAUCCGGAAUUAUUGGGCGUAAAGCGUCCGCAGGCGGCCUUUCAAGUCUGCUGUUAAAAAGUGGAGCUUAACUCCAUCAUGGCAGUGGAAACUGUUGGGCUUGAGUGUGGUAGGGGCAGAGGGAAUUCCCGGUGUAGCGGUGAAAUGCGUAGAUAUCGGGAAGAACACCAGUGGCGAAGGCGCUCUGCUGGGCCAUAACUGACGCUCAUGGACGAAAGCCAGGGGAGCGAAAGGGAUUAGAUACCCCUGUAGUCCUGGCCGUAAACGAUGAACACUAGGUGUCGGGGGAAUCGACCCCCUCGGUGUCGUAGCCAACGCGUUAAGUGUUCCGCCUGGGGAGUACGCACGCAAGUGUGAAACUCAAAGGAAUUGACGGGGGCCCGCACAAGCGGUGGAGUAUGUGGUUUAAUUCGAUGCAACGCGAAGAACCUUACCAGGGUUUGACAUCCUGCGAAUCUCUUGGAAACGAGAGAGUGCCUUCGGGAACGCAGUGACAGGUGGUGCAUGGCUGUCGUCAGCUCGUGUCGUGAGAUGUUGGGUUAAGUCCCGCAACGAGCGCAACCCACGUUUUUAGUUGCCAGCAUUUAGUUGGGCACUCUAGAGAGACCGCCGGUGAUAAACCGGAGGAAGGUGUGGAUGACGUCAAGUCAUCAUGCCCCUUACAUCCUGGGCUACACACGUACUACAAUGCUACGGACAAAGGGCAGCAAGUUCGCGAGGACAAGCAAAUCCCAUAAACCGUGGCUCAGUUCAGAUCGUAGGCUGCAACUCGCCUACGUGAAGGAGGAAUCGCUAGUAAUCGCAGGUCAGCAUACUGCGGUGAAUACGUUCCCGGGCCUUGUACACACCGCCCGUCACACCAUGGAAGUUGGCCACGCCCGAAGUCGUUACUCCAACCCUUGUGGAGGAGGACGCCGAAGGUGGGGCUGAUGACUGGGGUGAAGUCGUAACAAGGUAGCCGUACCGGAAGGUGCGGCUGGAUCACCUCCU
rnacentral:rRNA from 1 species